UGGGGGAUAACGUUCGGAAACGGACGCUAAUACCGCAUACGUCCUACGGGAGAAAGCAGGGGACCUUCGGGCCUUGCGCUAUCAGAUGAGCCUAGGUCGGAUUAGCUAGUUGGUGGGGUAAUGGCUCACCAAGGCGACGAUCCGUAACUGGUCUGAGAGGAUGAUCAGUCACACUGGAACUGAGACACGGUCCAGACUCCUACGGGAGGCAGCAGUGGGGAAUAUUGGACAAUGGGCGAAAGCCUGAUCCAGCCAUGCCGCGUGUGUGAAGAAGGUCUUCGGAUUGUAAAGCACUUUAAGUUGGGAGGAAGGGUUGUAGAUUAAUACUCUGCAAUUUUGACGUUACCGACAGAAUAAGCACCGGCUAACUCUGUGCCAGCAGCCGCGGUAAUACAGAGGGUGCAAGCGUUAAUCGGAAUUACUGGGCGUAAAGCGCGCGUAGGUGGUUUGUUAAGUUGGAUGUGAAAUCCCCGGGCUCAACCUGGGAACUGCAUUCAAAACUGACUGACUAGAGUAUGGUAGAGGGUGGUGGAAUUUCCUGUGUAGCGGUGAAAUGCGUA
rnacentral:rRNA from 1 species